rnacentral:rRNA from 1 species
AUUCCAGCUCCAAUAGCGUAUACUAAAGUUGUUGCAGUUAAAAAGCUCGUAGUUGGAUUUCUGUUUUUAAAAAUCGGUCGUAACCUCACGGUUUCUGUACCAGGUUUCUUAAAUGCAUCCUCAGGGUUCUGUUAUCUGGUAUUAAUUUAUCGGAUUUCUGGUCCUUGUCGUUUACUGUGAACAAAUUAGAGUGUUCAAAGCAAGGUGUACUUGAAUACAUUAGCAUGGAAUAAUAAGAUAGGACUUUGGUGGUUCUUUUUGAUAUUUUGUUGGUUUGCACGCCAAAGUAAUGAUUAAUAGGAGCAGUUGGGGGUAUUCGUAUUCAAUUGUCAGAGGUGAAAUUCUUGGAUUUAUAGAAGACGAACUACUGCGAAAGCAUUUACCAAGGAUGUUUUCAUUA